AUUGAACGCUGGCGGCGUGGAUAAGACAUGCAAGUCGAACGAGAGAAUUACUAGCUUGCUAAUAAUUCUCUAGUGGCGCACGGGUGAGUAACACGUGAGUAACCUGCCCCCGAGAGCGGGAUAGCCCUGGGAAACUGGGAAUAAUACCGCAUAGUAUCGAAAGAUUAAAGCAGCAAUGCGCUUGGGGAUGGGCUCGCGGCCUAUUAGUUAGUUGGUGAGGUAACGGCUCACCAAGGCGAUGACGGGUAGCCGGUCUGAGAGGAUGUCCGGCCACACUGGAACUGAGACACGGUCCAGACACCUACGGGUGGCAGCAGUCGAGAAUCAUUCACAAUGGGGGAAACCCUGAUGGUGCGACGCCGCGUGGGGGAAUGAAGGUCUUCGGAUUGUAAACCCCUGUCAUGUGGGAGCAAAUUAAAAAGAUAGUACCACAAGAGGAAGAGACGGCUAACUCUGUGCCAGCCGCCGCGGUAA
rnacentral:rRNA from 1 species